rnacentral:rRNA from 1 species
CCCUUAGAUGUUCUGGGCUGCACGUGCGUUACACUGAUGCAUUCAACGAGCUUAUAACCUUGGCCGAGAGGCCUGGGCAAUCUUGUUAACGUGCAUCGUGAUAGGGAUAGAUUAUUGAAAUUAUUAAUCUUGAACGAGGAAUUCCUAGUAAACGCAGAUCAUCAAUCUGCAUUGAUUACGUCCCUGCCCUUUGUACACACCGCCCGUCGCACCUACCGAUUGGAUGGUCCGGUGAAGCCUCGGGAUUGUGGUUCUUGCCGCUUUAUUGUGGCGUGACCGCGAGAACUUGUCUAAACCUUAUCAUCUAGAGGAAGGUGAAGUCGUAACA